CUCUCUCUCUCUCUCUCUCUCUCUCUCUCUCUCGUUUUCCAAUCUCCGCUGAGCUGAUCUGUGCAUCUGACGUGUUACGAUUCAUGGUUAGCCGGAAAUGCCCCCGGCCGACGUGGGAGACCACGGCUUUGCCACAGUGGCGAAGUUGAUGACGAGUGGCUCUGUCCUUUUCAUUCAUUUUUUCUUAUUUUUUUGUCUCCAUGGAUGAAAACCUUCGCGUCGCCGUGAAUCCUGUCUCCUUUCUGUUUCUCUAAGACCCUCGGAGAGGCUGAACCCGUAAAUUUCACGAGACUUUCAUCGGUGUUUGCGACGAGUGAUUUUGCAUCGAUCUCUUCGAUCAGCUAUAACGUUUGAAUUGGAUUCGAAUAAAUAAUCUCUGAUUUUUCUUUUGGACGCGAAAUUUAGGAGAGAUUUUCGCGAUUUCACGAUACACAGCUUCCUUGUUUUUUUUCUUCAUUCGUUCAGGGUUGUUUCCCUCGAGGUUCCAUCGAGUCUCCUUCCCCAACACAUUCUGCAUUAGAUUCCAAAGGACAUUUUCGCAGAGGGCAAAGAAUAAAAAUAUUGACCAAAAAACCCCUCGACAGAGUUUUCGUGUCUCGCAUCGCGAGGGUAUUCCUGUCAUUAUGCGAUGUAUGGGUUUUGUCUCCCCGGAGAGGGAAGAUGGAUGGGGGGGGAAUGGAAAGGGUGCGAACGUCGCCGUUUUCUGUUUUUUUGUUAGGUAUGAUUUGAUUUGUCAUUCAGGAGCAAUGCUCUGGUGCCAUGCUCUACACUGAUCCUCCGAAUAAACAAAUUCAAUACUGAUUUGUUGACAAUGAAAAUAUCCUGAUUUGUCGUCUCAUAAAAUGUGAAGUAUUGAUUGAUUUCAUUCUAGACUGAUGUGAAGAAUAAACGCAGGAUGCUAUGGUUUUGCAUAAUUAACUGAGGAAAACUUUUGGACAAAAUGUUUAAAAAAAUGGGGAAGGAUUUCUUUGCACUAUUUUGUGAUAAAUAAUGAAAAUAAACACUGAUCUGGUUAACCCACAUUAUGUGAUGGGCCUAUGUCUUUGUUUUGGUAAUGGGUCGUAUCUCUUGUUUCUUCAAUACAGGCCCCAAAUUUUUAUCAAUAUUUUUUUUAAUCCAUAAAUUGCGUUCCCAUUUGAUUCUAUAGUGUUAAAAUUCUUUUUUUUUUCUUUGUUUGGUUCUGAAAACACAAAUUGCUUGCCUUUUUUGGGGGGGUUGGAUUGGAUGGUCUUGCACAUGCAAUGCAAUUCCCCAUUGAAUUUUAUAUUUUUGUGGGGUUAAAGUCAGAGUUGUGUACUGGGAAACGUGCCAGUAGCCAUUUGCCAUGUCAGGCAGGUCGCGUGAGGACAAUCACGUGAAUUGUGUUCUGUGAUGUUUUACUGAGUCGCUGUCAAGGAAAUGUGAAUAAUAGUUGCAUACAGUGGGAGGUUUUACUGUUUUGCAAGAUAUUCAACCAUCAAGAAAUGGGCUUUUUUCUUCCAUCUAUAAAUUAUGCUACUAAAUUAGAUUUGUUAGUUUUAAGAAAUUAAUAAUUUUCCCUUUUUGUUUGUUUGUUACGUGGAGUGUGUUUUGUAGUGGUUUAGUUCCGGUGGUUUUUGGACUGUUUUGCGUUAUUAAUUGCGUGCAUUGUGGUUUUCAGAGGUUAGGUUAUCCACCACACAUUGUCUUCCAUUUGGUUCAAGACUUUGUUGUGUCGACAUUGUAUUUUUUUUGUUGGGUUUCGUUCUUUGCUCAAUGUUUGACUAUUCUCUCUAAUCCCUCAAUUUAUUAAUGGGUCUUGUUCCUAAUCCCAGACUAUAAUCACCCGAGACUCAAACGGAUCUAGCUCCAAUAGAGGAAGGAAGAAGAAGACGUUUGCUGAACUUGAGGAGGAAGAAGACAACCUGUUGAAGGAGAGAAUCUGCUUGAAGAGGGAAAUUGCGUUGUUCUGUGCCACGUUCGACGAGCAUGACACUGAGAUCGAGAGCUUGAAGAAGAUGAAGUUGGAUCCGAAGCACAUGCAUCGUAACAAGGGGGAGGUGGAAAAGUCGAUGUCCGAGAGGAGCUUCUUGCUUCCGGAUCUGAAUAUGACGCCUUCGUCUGACGACAGCUGACUUUUCUUUGGCUGUGGCGACUCUGUAUGGGACAAGGAUAGGCUCUGAAUGAAUAUGGAAAACAACUGGUCUCCGAUCUAUAUAGAUCAGCUAGUAAACCCCGGCCAUCUCUCCCAGAUUUCGGCAAAGCAGCGACACCAAGCUCUUGCUGUGUGAGGGUUUUCGACCGGGUGAAGAGGAUCACGUUUAAGAUAAGAGAUCUCUGGUGUAGAGGAUUAUGUAAGUUUUGCAGAUUCAGAGAGAGCGAGAGAGGAUACAGAGUUAUUGAUUCUUUGUAGAGGGAACAAGAGAUUCGAAUAUAUGAGAUCAGAAGCUGUUGUGUACUGUA